rnacentral:rRNA from 1 species
CCGGCACGGGUGAGUAACACGUAUCCAACCUGCCGUCUACUCUUGGACAGCCUUCUGAAGGAAGAUUAAUACAAGAUGGCAUCAUGAGUCCGCAUGUUCACAUGAUUAAAGGUAUUCCGGUAGACGAUGGGGAUGCGUUCCAUUAGAUAGUAGGCGGGGUAACGGCCCACCUAGUCUUCGAUGGAUGGGGGUUCUGAGAGGAAGGUCCCCCACAUUGGAACUGAGACACGGUCCAA